rnacentral:lncRNA from 10 species
UGCUCCAGGAAGAGGAAAUCUACACAUAAGAAGGUCUCAAAGUGGGAGAACAGGGUAAUCUAGAAGAACUAGAGAAACUUAAGCAGCUGUGUCAGGUCAAACAGUGGGUGGGAAUCACGAGGCUGGAGCCCAGCUGAUCAGGAAGGCCGUCGAGUGCCAGGUUGAGAGCUGGGACUUAUCCCCAGGCAGGGAGGCCUAUUGGGAGACUGCUCUGAGAGUCCAGCUGCUUUCCACAUUCUCUCUCUUUGAUUUUCAGCAGUCUGCCCAUGAUGUGCCUAAAUAGGACUUUCUUUGCAUUCAUCUUGGCUGGGGCUCACUGAACUUUCUGAAUCUGUAGAUUAAUUUUCUUUUUUCAAUAAACCUUGGAAUAUUUUCAGCAUAA